rnacentral:rRNA from 1 species
UACGGGGGGGGGGCAAGCGUUGUUCGGAAUUACUGGGCGUAAAGGCUCGUAGGCGGCCAACUAAGUCAGACGUGAAAUCCCUCGGCUUAACCGGGGAACUGCAUCUGAUACUGGAUGGCUUGAGAUUGGGAGAGGGAUGCGGAAUUCCAGGUGUAGCGGUGAAAUGCGUAGAUAUCUGGAGGAACACCGGUGGCGAAGGCGGCAUCCUGGACCAACACUGACGCUGAGGAGCGAAAGCCAGGGGAGCAAACGGG